rnacentral:rRNA from 1 species
GACGAACGCUGGCGGCGUGCUUAACACAUGCAAGUCGAACGGAAAGGCCCUGCCUUUGUGGGGUGCUCGAGUGGCGAACGGGUGAGUAACACGUGAGUACGCUGCCCUUGACCUUGGGAUAACUUCAGGAAACUGGGGCUAAUACCGGAUAGGAGCUCCUGCCGCAGGGUGGGGGUGGGAUAGUUUCGGCGGUUGGGGUUGGACUCGCGGCUUAUGAGCUUGUUGGUGUGGUAGUGGGUUACCAAGGCUAUGACGGGUGGCCGGCCUGGGAGGGUGACCGGCCACAUUGGGACUGAGAUGCGGCCCAGACUCCUACGGGAGGCAACGGUGGGGAAUAUUGCACAAUGGGCGGAAGCCUGGUGCAGCAACGCCGCGUGCGGGAUGACGUCCUUCGGGUUGUAAACCGCUUUCGCCUGUGACGAAGCGUUAGUGACGGUAAUGGGUAAAGAAGCACCGGCUAACUACGUG